rnacentral:lncRNA from 1 species
GACUUGAACUUAAGAAUUUUGCCUUAAAAUAAACUUUAAGGUAAAUUACUUAUAUAAGUAUAAUGUAAUGGAUACUGAAUGACGGUUAGCAGGCAAUAGCACUUAAUUGCUAUUUAUUCUUGCUUAUUGAUAUUAUUUGGUCUAGGAUAAGAUAUGUUAUGGGAAUACAAAUUUCCUUGAUUCUGGAUAAAAGUCCUAAUAAAAGAGACACUUUUAAAAUCUUGAAAAGAUACUAUUUAUGGGAAAUAGA